UCAUGCGGGAGAGCGGCUGGCGGCGCAGCGCGUUGGCGGAGAGCUUGCGGAGGGCCGUCGCCAUGGCCAUGGUGGGCGGUGGCGGGCGCGUCCACCUCCUCCUCCUCCUGUGAUGUGCUGUGGGUUGGAGCCUCGACUCGCUCGCGAGUUUGGGAGGCAGUGGAAUUGGUAGCUUUUUAUGGGGUUUAUUUAUAUACUCGUAUUUUAUUUUAGGCGGAUAAUCUAUGCCCGUCCCGUGCUCGUGGGUUUGGUUGGAUGGCCAGGCAGGCGCAGGCCAGUGCUUGGUCUCCAUCAGCGUCAGCGCCCACCACUCCACUCCUCACCAAACGCAUCAGCGUCACCAACCCAUGAACAGAUCAGUGAGUCUCCAUUCAUUUCAGUUUCAUUUUUUCUUGCACGUAUUCGGCAUUCCCGUUCCUACUCCACGUUUUCCUCUAAAAUCUUCCGUUCUUUUUUUUGUUAGUCCUCAUUUAUCUUGCACCCAAGUGUAUUCGGCAUUCCGGCUUCUAGUCCACGUUUUCCUCUAAAAUCUUCAGUUCUUUUUUCAUUUUAUAUAUUUGUGUUUUUGGAAUAUACUCUUUUUUUUGCCACUUUUACUUGUAGCACAGCGUCCAUGACAACGUAAACACUGAGCACAUUGUCUUAAAUUUAGGGUUUGUUUGGUUUCUUUGUUAAAUUUUAGCUAGCUAAAACUAUUUUAGCUAUUCUUAGAAAAAUAGUGUGACUAAACUAUUUUAGCUUUUUUUAGAGUUUGUUCGCUAGUCUAAAAAGUCAUGGUUGAAAAUACUGUUUGUUGAUUUAUUGUGAGAGAAAGAUAUUGUUGGCUGGCAGAAAAAGUACGGCUUAGUCAGUAAAACGAGUUUAGCUGGCUAAAAUUUAGCAAAGAGAACUAAUCAGACCCUUACUUUCUCUUUUGGUUUCUAAGAUUCAACUUGUUGAAAUGGCAAUUCCAGUUUUUAGACAGUGAGAAUUUUCUGGACUGCAACUGAAAGAUUCUGGGCAUCUAGGUGAUUUAUUAUUAUUAGCGUAAACUGUACCUGUUUUUUAACCCGCCAGAUUAUUAUAUACUGUACUGAACAGUCAACUAACAUAUAUUCCCAAAAAAAACAAAGAGUAUCAGUAUCAACAGACAGGAAAUUUGGUUUCAUCUGGGCCAGAUUCGCAUCUCAAAUGACCGCUAGAGCAAGGGCAAAGUUGGUCCCUGGACUGUGCCCUGAAUAGUUUCAGCAUGGAUUAGGGCUUGUUUAGAUACAUCCAAAAACCCAAAACUUUUUACAAGAUUCUCCAUCACAUCGAAUCUUACGGCACAUGCAUGAAACAUUAAAUAUAGAUAAAAAAGAUAACUAAUUGCACAGUUUGACUGUAAAUCACGAGACGAAUCUUUUAAGCCUAAUUACUCCAUGAUUAGACAAUGUUUGUCAAAUAAAAACGAAAGUACUACAGUGUUAAAAUCCAAAAAUUUUUUGAAUCUAAACGAAGCCUUAUUAUUAAACUUUCACGAUGACCACCAACCAUAGCACGAAAGAUUCUUCACAUCGAACCAGACAUGGUUGAGCCUGCGCCCUGCAGGAACGGAGGGCCUACCCUGGAGCUGUGAUUUGGUAAAGUGGCACCAAUCGUAAGGCAGCUCAACCACUGAACCUACACUCUAAAUCAUCCAUCGCCAAACACUCAGAAAGCGACAUCACAAGCAAUAUUAUUCUAAACGCUAAACAGUACUCAAUCCAUCCCAAAUCGUUUGACUUUUUUAAUAUCAAGUUUAACUACUCGUCUUAUUCAAAGUUUUGUACAAAAUAUCAUUUUUUUUGUUGUGUAUUGGUUUAUUAAUAAAAGUUCUUCAAGAUUGACUUAAAUUUUAACUAUAUUUGCAUAAAUUUUUUGAAUAAGACGAGUAGUCAAAUUUAGGGUAAAAAAGUCAAACGACUUACAAUUUGGGAUGGAGGGAGUAAAUAUUUAGUCACCCUUUAUUUAGGUUUACAUAGAGUUAAACGGUCUAAACAGUUUUAUAUAUUAACAAUAAAUAUACAUAUUUUUGUACAUAAAAGUAAAUAUGCUAGAAAGUAUAUGUAAAAAGUAAGUAUGCUACUAAAUAAUAUUUUUUCUGAAGAAAUCUAAAUCCCAUUACACUUCAUAUAGAUGCUAAUUACUCUAGUGUUGAGUGUUGAUUGUGAUAGUUGCAAUCCUCCAAUUGACUAAAUUAUGAACUAAAUGGCCAUUUAGCUCAUUUAAACUUGUUUAACUCAAUUCUAUUUGGACAGUUGUUAACAGUUUAAACAGGUUUAAAUAAUCUAACCGUUAAAUGCACCAUUUAGAGCCUAAACAACGCAGGUGGCCUCCGUUUACCGUUUAAACACAGCCUAUUUAGGCGACCAAUGAUCAUGAGAGAUUUUUUUUUUCACAUAAGAGAAGGUUAUUGCCAAAUCAUUGUUCCUUCUAUGCAUGAAUCAAUCAUUUAACACAAUUACAGCAUGUCGGGAAAAAGUAGAUUCUAUCGUAGGUCUAUGAUCAGGCGGGAAAAAGUGAUUUUAUCGGAAAGUCUAUGGAGAGGACUGCGCCAAGGUGUAGCUGCAUUGCGUUUGCGUACGUGCAUCCAGGCCACCCGAUCCCUAUCUGUUCCACGGCCACAGGUGAGCAAAAGCGGAAACACUACCCACGAGUUCGUAAUUGAAAGCGGGUAUAAAACGAUCAAUCUGAGUCUCAAAUAAUAAAAAGAGCGAAAUUAGUAGAUGAAAAUAAGCAUGUGUUUUUUCCUUAAUUUCCACAUUCAUGAAUUUGACUUCCCCCCAGUCCAAGUACCAAGCAAGAACAAAGGUAGAGUACUUGAUGACUUUUGUCAAAAAAAAAAAGGAAAAAAAAGGCUACUUGAUGACUGGCUAUCAGUCCGAAUCCAAGUAGAAACAAAGGUAGAAAGACAAACCACAACAGUACGCAUAAGCAAGUGAAGAAUCAUUUACAGAGUUUAGAUUAUUACAUUUCUAAUACCAUUAGGUCCCAUAUACUAUGCUUAAAAGUAAAAUUUUCUGACAACUUAAAGGGGUUUUGCCCUUGGUCAGCGUGCCAUCAUGUUCAUUUUACAUCAGAGAAGAGAAGCAACUAGAAGUCCAAGUUCCAAAAAUUGUAUUUCUAACAUCUAGGUUACAAAGAAAGCCACAUGGCCACGACAGGGAACCAAAACCGUAAGUACAGGCAUGUACAUUAUAUUUGAACCAGAUAAAGUUCACAUAAGGUUCCUAUGGGGAAAAGAGGAAAGUUUGGGUCAGCCUAAACGAACUUGCCUGUCUUUUCUUCUUUUCUUCAAUGUUCUCUGCCUCUUUGGAUGGGUCAUCCGCCUCUACAAGGUCUUGAACCCUUAAUCCAGAGGGGCUGUGUGCAUGUGUCCAUCAAAUUGCAUAUGCUGGGCUAUUCAUUGAACAUUUGAACGCAUACCAUGCGCAAGCCCAAUUACAAAAAAAACAGUGCACUAACUUCAGCGCCCCACAUUGUUGGUAUCUGGAACACAUGGGGUCGGGCAGAAAAGAGAUUGUAUAUGUCCAGGCCAUGAGCUGCACGUGUAGGCUGGAUUAUUAUUAUGCUAAUUCACUUGGACCAAUCCAUAGCCAUUCAUGCGUACUAUGGAGCCUCUUCUUUGCCAGCAUUUGAGAGGCUGGAUCGAAUUCAAACCCUCCUACAGCUCAUGUUUGAAACAGUUAGUCCCAGCCUUUGCUUUGGCUACAAGGGGAAAAAGAUAAUAGCCACAAUCAGAGAUCUUGUUUCACUAUCAUCCAUAGUAACUAGCAGCCAUAUCACGUGUUGGGCAUGCUACAGUAAUCCUUUCUUUUGUUGAUCUGGAAAUAUGGUAACAAGGUUAAUUGGACAUAUGUGAGUGCUAAUUCCAAAUGUUGUAAAUAAACCAGAAAAUCAAAAUUGUCCAAUUCAAUAUUAAUGGAAAUUUAUCCAAGAAAAAAAAGGUGAAAACACAUGAAAAGAAGUGCUGAUGACUUUAUGGGGUGUGAUACAAAUAUUUCUGUGUGAAAAAUGGUAGCUAACUAUAACUGAUAUGUUGCUCAUAAAAAAAGAAAGUAAGGGUACAACAAAAAGUAUACCCAAGUAAGAUCAAUAGAACCAUAGGUACACAAAGGAAAGAUGCAUUUACAAAGUGAUCCAUAAAUUGUUCAGCAGAAAAUCAAAACUUAUGCCAGAAAGAUUACUCCAAAUAAUAAGAUUGCCACUUAACAACAACCAGGGCAGAAAUCAACUGAGAAGGGGCACAUACCAACUAGGCAAACAACAAUGAACAGUACUGUAGAACACAAAAACUGAGGUCUCAGCUUCAGCUGAUCUUGGACAUGAUGAAAGAUUGUUUGGAACCAUUUUUCUGGUUUUCAAUCCAACCACUCAUUUGGAUUUCAAAAGAAGGGAAAUAACAAAAAGCCACCUACAAGUUUUACAAGAUUUUAGUUUCUGACCACCCUUAGAAUCCUGUGUUGCUUCAUGGUAGAUUAUGUCGUGCAAACAGUCUUCGACUGAUUCAUCUCUUGCCACAGUGGACCAUGUGGGUGUUAAACUCAGUGGAGUUUUAGCCCAAUUCUAGAAAUUGCGCACAUGUUUAGCAAAAUCAAUUGGGUUCAAUGAACAUUCCACAUAUGUGCAUGCAAAUGGACACAAAAAUCUGCUACUUUACUAGAUUGUUGGCACAGAUAUCCAUGCAUAUAGGGUGGCCAUUGUCACACAGAAUGCCACACCAUCUCAAUAGCUGUUCAAACUCAAUGCUGAGGAUCAGCUAGAACAUAAUCAACAAAAAGUAUACCCAAGAGCAUAAUCAACAAAACCUCUGCAAAAAAGGUAGCCCCAAACCUCUCUGCAAAAUCCAGCCAAACACCACCCAAAUGCCAAAUCCAAACAUUUGUCUCAACUUUGCUAUUUUACAGGAUAAUGCUGCCACACCCUCUACCUCCCAUCCACACCACCAUUUCCCUUGUUGUCAUGGGCAUCCCCUAGCCUUAGCUGUGUAGCUGGCGUCUCAAGAAGUGAACAGUACGAGAAGUCAAGCAUCGGGACCCAAGUCAGAUUUAAGGUCC
rnacentral:lncRNA from 1 species